GUCGGUAUUGGCUGGGAAGUUUCCUCUUGUAGGUAUCCAUUCUUUCUGGAGCAUCAUCAUUAGCAAAAGAGGCGGGCAAGAAUGUCAAUGGAAUGUAUGGCAUAUUAUUUCCAGUAGAUGUGUCGCACCAUAUAUCAUAUUCCUCAGAACGCUAAACUUUCAGGUGUAAUGACGUAUUUUCCAAAUGAUAAAACUCAAAUCGAUCAUCUAUAGACCUCGUCGUCCUCAUGAUAAAUAUUUUGUUUUUUCAUACGUGGGAAAGUCUAUCCCAGUCACCAGUCGAGCAGCAGAGCUUCAGUAAUGCAAACCACAUAGGACGGCACUGCUAUAGAAAGUUAGCAGCGUUGAUCUGUUAGCGAUCUGGAAUGGCACGACAAUUGAGUAUUGAGUAUUCGGUACCAUUGUGUCGAUUUGUUCCUUAUUGCAUCAGUAAUUUGAAAUUUCCACUAUUCUCGUUGUAACCAGCUACGAUGGCCCACUAGUGUCUACGUAAAUUAUGUUUAUUUCUAGGGAUCUUAAAAAUACAAUCUACAUACACUCCACGACACUUAAAUACGACAUACUAAAAUGUACACUUUAGGCACCAACAUUUCCGGCACAAGCCAAAGAAAACGGUGAAUUUGAAUUUUCCUCAAAUCUCUAUUCAAUUUAGCAUAAAUUAAAAUAAAAUAAAAUAGUAGCAAUAUUCAUCAAAGUAGAUUGAGGAAAAAAAUUUAAUUGACAUAUGUAACUCAAAUUUCCGCUCCCAAAAAAAUGCGACACUUGAAUACGACAUUCACAUUGAACAAUUUUUUAUUUUGGAUGUGGUCGCGACCGGACAUUGAAUAAAUUCUCAAAAAUCAAUUAGGGUGUCCUUAUUACGAGAAAAAAAUUUGGGUUAUGGUAAGUCCUUUUCAAAGGACGAAAACUCCACAAUAAAAGCCUCGAAGGAAGUAGGUCCAUCAAUAAUGAAAAUAAGUGAUGAAAUUGGUAAAACUAGGUGUGUUCUGAGUGAUUUCAUAAAGAACGGGUCAAAUUAUGGCAAAAACAUAAAAAACCGAACCAAAAUUGCUACUUCCGAGACCUCCAUAAGAUCUCAUCUGCGAGCCGCAUCUAAAAAACACGACUAAAACUCGAUUUAAAAAUCUAAAACUGUACUUUUAGCUAGUGCUAAAAUAAUAAAACAUGUUUUUUCGAAGACUCCACACCAUAAGGGACUGUAAUUAAUAAAAAA